UACAGAGGGUGCAAGCGUUGUUCGGAAUUAUUGGGCGUAAAGCGCGUGUAGGCGGCAUAGCAAGUCGGGUGUGAAAGCCCUCAGCUCAACUGAGGAAGUGCGCCCGAAACUGCUGUGCUUGAGUACCGGAGAGGAUGGCGGAAUUCCCCAAGUAGAGGUGAAAUUCGUAGAUAUGGGGAGGGACACCGGUGGCGAAGGCGGCCAUCUGGACGGUCACUGACGCUGAGACGCGAAAGCGUGGGGAGCAAACAGG
rnacentral:rRNA from 1 species